CCUUAUUUAAAAAGAAAUAAAAGCUUUAAAAAAAUCAAAUUCUUUGGCAUGAGUCAUUCAUCCGGUAUGUUAUGAACAAACAACAGUUUCUGUACGUGGUGUGUGUGUCAGCGGUUCUGUCAUGCAUCGCCACCAUCACUGAGAAACACACCAGGCCCACCAAGUGACCACUAUGACUCCACAAUCAAGACCAAUGUCACAAUAGAUGAAUCCCCCACAGAGUAAUUAACCAAUGAAUCCAAAACCAACCAACAAUGUACAACGGCAUCAAACCAACCCGCCUCUGGCACAGGACAGGACGAAAGCAUUUCUGGAGGCUUGUAAACGAGAGAAUCAAUGCAAGGCCUGGAUUCGACGUUAGCGAAAAAAAAGAUAGACUUCAAAUUCUUGCGAUAGUCUUAACUGGCCUCUCUAGCAUUAUGUACAGCUAUGGAAUGUUCAGUCCGCCGCUAGACACGACCACUAUAAUAAGACCCCCGGGGUCUUGCGAUGGUGUUAGGAGAAGAUGUCCCAACAUGCCUCCAUGUGGUUCUAACGAUUCGCGCAGGAGAUAAAAUUAAAUUUAUUGUAUUAAUGUUUGAACAGGAAUAAAUGUGUAACUUACUUGAUUA